rnacentral:rRNA from 1 species
UACGGGGGGGGCAAGCGUUGUUCGGAAUUACUGGGCGUAAAGGGCUCGUAGGCGGCCAACUAAGUCAUACGUGAAAUCCCUCGGCUUAACCGGGGAACUGCGUCUGAUACUGGAUGGCUUGAGAUUGGGAGAGGGAUGCGGAAUUCCAGGUGUAGCGGUGAAAUGCGUAGAUAUCUGGAGGAACACCGGUGGCGAAGGCGGCCCACUGGCUCGACACUGACGCUGAGGUGCGAAAGCGUGGGGAGCAAACAGG